AGCGGCUUCUUCUCUUUGCUUAUGCUCUUUCUGAUCUCUUCAGUCUUCAGAGUAGUAGUUUGCUCGGGUGGGUGAUGGGAAAAACGAUAGUUUGUUGGAGAGAAGAGGUAAAGUCCUUACCGGAUUUUAAUUGUUUGAUUCAGAAGUCGUCUGCCUUUGUUGGUCUGUGAGUAGUUUUAUUUCCUUUGAGAAUCUGUUUUCUUCUCCUAUGAAGGGAACGGCCAUGUUCUAGUAUGGAGUUCCAUUGAGUUUAGUUAAAAGUUCACUCUUUGGUCUUUCCGUUCUAUGAGAUUCCAAUUCUCCAAUAUUGCUCUUGCAACACAGAUGUGUUGCAGUUUUCCAUUGAAUUCGUUUUUUUCCCCUUGAUUUUCAGUUGAUUGGAGUAAACCUAAGAUAAUACUCAACUCAGAGAUAAACAUGUUAAUCUUUAUUGAGUGGGCUUUAUUGGGUACGUUUCAAGGUAUAGGAGAGAAUAGAUAAUGAAAGACAUGUUUGAUGAUUUUCAUCUAAUAUCUCUAUAUCUCUCCAGAACAUCAUGCUAAUUUCAUUUAUACCUUUUCAGAUUCUGCAAAGAGCUGAAGAGGUAGAACAUGUCGAGGUGUAUAAAUUGGUGCUAAAAUUGUGCGCAGGUUGUUGUUCCUGAUUCCCUGAUGUUUGAGCUCAUUUAAGUCAGCAGAGAUUUGUUGCGCUUUGGAAUGUAAUUGAACAUGAAGUUUGGUCUUGCUGUUGUGGGAGUUUCCUCUUAUAGGUGUGAGAUAUUUCUUUUACUAUGGCAAGUUGUAUAUAACAGAU